rnacentral:rRNA from 1 species
UUUUGUUUAUAAUUUAAAAUUUAAUCUGCCCACUGAUUAAUUAAAGGGCCGCAGUAUAUUGACUGUGCAAAGGUAGCAUAAUCAUUUGUUUCUUAAUUGUUGACUUGUAUGAAUGAUUGGACGAGGUAAUUACUGUCUCAUUUUUAUUUAAAAUAAAAUUUUAUUUUUAAGUUAAAAAGCUUAAAUAAUAUUUAAGGACGAGAAGACCCUAUAGAGUUUAAUUAAUUUAGUAAAAAUUUUUAUUUUUGUAUUUAAAUUAUUUUUAUAAAUGUUAAUUUAAUUGGGGUGAUUAAAAAAUUUAAUAAACUUUUUAAAAUAUUAUUCAAAAAAUUUUGUUUAAAUUUGAUCCAGAAUUUUUGAUUAUUUGAAUAAAUUACCUUAGGGAUAACAGCGUUAUUAUUUUGGAAAGUUCAUAUUUAUAAAAUAGUUUGCGACCUCGAUGUUGAAUUAAGAUAAAUUUUUGGUGCAGUAAUUAAAAUUUUUAGUCUGUUCGACUAUUAAAUUCUU